CCUUGUGGUUUCUGUAAGGCAGUGGUGACCCUGACUAAAACAGUUUAGGUCAGUACAGCCUUUAUUGUUACCUCAGACUUGUGGUUAUAGAAUCCAUGUUCUUAACCACAUAGAAUUCUGGGAUAAAAUUAACCACUGUGUAUAAAACUUUCAACUCAAAGAUAAGGAAUAUGGAAAGAGGCAGACAGCACAAAAUGGCAAAAAGCAGGAAUUAGCAGACCUGGACUGUCCACAGGAAAGCUGGGUCUUGAUUCCCCUGGGCAACAGAAAGAAGCCUGAAGCAAGGAGGAAUCAGAGAGGACCUAGGAAGCUCUUUCAGGAGCUUUGUAAGCUGACAGGAUUCUUGUGUGUAGGUUCAGCUGCCCUUCCUUCACAUUCCUUUCCAUUUUCCUGAACCCAUACCACUCUGCCCUGGAAGGAUUUCAGUGGUAAUCAUUCUCUCUGAGAGUGCAUGAACUCACUGGGCUGCUUCCAAGGGCACCACAAGAAGAAUUUACAAUUUAUCAGACACUGCUUUUUUCCUCUCUAAGAAUAAAGAAAGAAAGAACAGAACAAUGCAAUAUAGGUUAAGUGAAAGUUCUUAAGAGGUAAUAAUAGGUUCUAUGUGAAGUAUUUUCCUUAAAUUGCCUUUUACAGAGUAGCAGGUGUCCCCCACACUUCCCAGGGGCUCCUUAGAACAUUUCUUUCUUUUCAUUCUCCAGUUGGAGUUGAGGGAGGGAUGGGAAGCCUCUGUCUCUACCUUCAUUGUCCCUUCAGGGAGCCCAGCAGGAGGUUCUGCUCUCCAGAGUCAGCAGAAAUGGCAUGCAUCAGCAACACUGAGCCAGGAGAUGGAGACACUAAUUCAGUGUGCUAGCUAGCUGGUGGCCUUAGGAUGUGGCUUAUGCUCUACAGUGGCUCCUGUUGUGCUGAGACAGAGCAGAAACAGAUGCCGAUUAAGGUGCAAAGGAGGACUGCCUGCAAGCCAGAACUUCUGAAGCUGCAGCCCUAAGAAAGCAGUGCAACACAGAUACCUACAGUGUCCAAACAUAAGAAAUAGUCUGACAAGACUUCCUAAAAGCUGACUGGAAGCCAGUCUUCUCCUAUCUGCCCUCGGAAGAUGGUGAACUCUCAGUUUCUCCAGCCCCACAUCUGUGUAGAUGCUGCCCUGCCCCCGCCCUGAAGAUAACGGACUGAACCUCUGAACCUAUAAGAGGCUACAGAAAUAAACAGAAGUUGAUACUCAAGAAUAUUGGAGGUUCCUUCUAGCAGACAACAGCAGCCAAAAUGCAGAAUAUGCCUGCCAGAAAGCAAGUGACACUGAGUCUACCAACCCAGCUGCCCAUUGGUGAACAAGAGGAAUCCAUAGAGCAGAUUGAAUUUCAGCAAGCAGAAGCACAGUUUGGUCACAGAACUUCACAAAUAUGCCAAAAUGACUAUGGACCAGACCAGAGGUUCCUAAGGAAUGAGUAUUGUGUGAAUGUGAUUAUAUGUCCUCAUCAACUGGGCAAAUAAAGA